CACGUAGGGUGCGAGCGUUGUCCGGAAUUACUGGGCGUAAAGCGCGCGUAGGCGGACCUGCAAGUCGGGGGUGAAAGCCCGAGGCUCAACCUCGGAACUGCCUUCGAUACUGCGGGUCUCGAGUCCGGGAGAGGUGAGUGGAAUUCCUAGUGUAGAGGUGAAAUUCGUAGAUAUUAGGAAGAACACCAGUGGCGAAGGCGGCUCACUGGCCCGGUACUGACGCUGAGGCGCGAAAGCGUGGGGAGCAAACAGG
rnacentral:rRNA from 1 species